rnacentral:rRNA from 1 species
CACCGCGGUUAUACGAGAGGCCCAAGUUGACAAACACCGGCGUAAAGCGUGGUUAAGUUAAACUCCUACUAAAGCCGAACAUCUUCAAGGCUGUUAUACGCAACCGAAGACAAGAAGUUCAACCACGAAGGUGGCUUUAUCUGCUCUGAACCCACGAAAGCUAAGGAA